rnacentral:rRNA from 1 species
AUUGAACGCUGGCGGCAUGCCUUACACAUGCAAGUCGAACGGCAGCACGGGAGCAAUCCUGGUGGCGAGUGGCGAACGGGUGAGUAAUAUAUCGGAACGUGCCCAGUAGUGGGGGAUAACUGCUCGAAAGAGCAGCUAAUACCGCAUACGACCUGAGGGAGAAAGGGGGGGAUCGCAAGACCUCUCGCUAUUGGAGCGGCCGAUAUCAGAUUAGCUAGUUGGUGGGGUAAAGGCCAACCAAGGCAACGAUCUGUAGUUGGUCUGAGAGGACGACCAGCCACACUGGGACUGAGACACGGCCCAGACUCCUACGGGAGGCAGCAGUGGGGAAUUUUGGACAAUGGGCGCAAGCCUGAUCCGGCAAUGCCGCGUGCAGGAAGAAGGCCUUCGGGUUGUAAACUGCUUUUGUCAGGGAAGAAAUCCUCUAGGUUAAUACCCUUGGGGGGAUGACGGUACCUGAAGAAUAAGCACCGGCUAACUACGUGCCAGCAGCCGCCGCCGUAA